UUAAAUUUCUAAUUUUUCAUCUGGUUCUUUCUCCCUUUAGCUCAAAUGAGAAGAGCCAGUCGUAGCUACAUUUCUCAGACUUCGCUGAUUUCCCUGACACAGCCCAAGAACCACGGAAAACCGGAAAACAAGGAAACUGAGGUUCAAGGUCGCAUACGUAAGCCUGCCCUGGCUGCAUUGUCCAGAAGUACGGUCUUGAGAGUUUUGCACUUUGGAAUUUAGGCUGCAGCAGAGAUGAAGAGGAGAGGCUCAUUCCACAUCGUAUUCUGUCUCCUACUGCCACCUCUGGACCGUGAGCACGUUGA